CAGUAUCCGCGGUAAUACGGAGGGUGCAAGCGUUAAUCGGAAUUACUGGGCGUAAAGCGCACGCAGGCGGUCUGACAAGUCAGAUGUGAAAUCCCCGGGCUUAACCUGGGAACUGCAUUUGAAACUGUCAGGCUGGAGUCUUGUAGAGGGGGGUGGAAUUCCAGGUGUAGCGGUGAAAUGCGUAGAGAUCUGGAGGAAUACCGGUGGCGAAGGCGGCCCCCUGGACAAAGACUGACGCUCAGGUGCGAAAGCGUGGGGAGCAAACAGGAUUAGAUACCCCUGUAGUCCCUGUCUCUUAUAC
rnacentral:rRNA from 1 species